GUUGAAGUGUGUCAGAUGGUUGUCAGAUGGUGUAUGAUGGUCGAAGUGUGUCAGAUGGUUGUCGGAUGGUGUAUGAUGGUGUAGGGUGGUUAUACAGGGAAGGGUUGUCAGAUGGUGAAGAUGGUACAGAUGGUGUAUGAUGGUCGAAGUAUGUCAGAUGGUUGUCAGAUGGUGUAUGAUGGUGUAUGAUGGUCGAAGUGUGUCAGAUGGUUUUCAGAUGGUGUAUGAUGGUGUAGGGUGGUUAUACAGGGAAGGGUUGUCAGAUGGUGAAGAUGAUACAGAUGGUGUAUGAUGGUCGAAGUGUGUCAGAUGGUUGUCAGAUGGUGUAUGAUGGUGUAUGAUGGUCGAAAUGUGUCAGAUGGUUGUCAGAUGGUGUAUGAUGGUGUAUGAUGGUCGAAGUGUGUCAGAUGGUUGUCAGAUGGUGUAUGAUGGCGUAGGGUGGUUAUACAAGGAAGGGUUGUCAGAUGGUGAAGAUGGUACAGAUGGUGUAUGAUGGUCGAAGUGUGUCAGAUGGUUGUCAGAUGGCGUAUGAUGGUCAGUAUGAUGGUCGAAGUGUGUCAGAUGGUUGUCAGAUGGUGUAUGAUGGUGUAGGGUGGUUAUACAGGGAAGGGUUGUCAGAUGGUGAAGAUGGUACAGAUGGUGUAUGAUGGUCGAAGUGUGUCAGAUGGUUGUCAGAUAGUGUAUGAUGGUGUAUGAUGGUCGGAGUGUGUCAGAUGGUUGUCAGAUGGUGCAUGAUGAUGUAGGGUGGUUAUACAGCGAAGGGUUGUCAGAUGGUGAAGAUGGUACAGAUGGUGUAUGAUGGUCGAAGUGUGUCAGAUGGUUGUCAGAUGGUGUAUGAUGGUGUAUGGUGGUUAUACAGGGAAGAGCUGUCAGAUGGUGAAGAUGGUGUAUGAUGGUCGAAGUGUGUCAGAUGGUUGUCAGAUGGUGUAUGAUGGUGUAUGAUGGUCGAAGUGUGUCAGAUGGUUGUCAGAUGGUGUAUGAUGGUGUAUGAUGGUCGAAGUGUGUCAGAUGGUUGUCAGAUGGUGUAUGAUGGUGUAUGAUGGUCGAAGUGUGUCAGAUGGUUGUCAGAUGGUGUAUGAUGGUGUAUGAUGGUCGAAGUGUGUCAG